CUCGUAGUUGGAUCUCGGCAGGCAGGGGGUGGUUCGCUCUUCAGCGCUACUGCCCCAUUUGCCUGUGUGAUUGGCGGAGGUUUCGGGGUGCCCUUCAUUGAGUGACCCGGGGCGCCGUCAAGUUUACUUUGAAAAAAUUAGAGUGCUCUUUGCAAGCUUUCACGCUUGAAUAUUCGCGCCUGGAAUAAUGGA
rnacentral:rRNA from 1 species